rnacentral:rRNA from 1 species
UGCCAGCCGCCGCGGUAAUAUGGAGGGAGCUUGCGUUGUUCGGAAUUACUGGGCGUAAAGAGCGUGUAGGCUGUUAGGUUAGUCAGAGGUGAAAUCCCUAAGCUCAACUUAGGAACUGCCUUUGAUACUAUCUUACUAGAGAUCGAGAGAAGUUAGCGGAAUUCCAAGUGUAGAGGUGAAAUUCGUAGAUAUUUGGAAGAACACCAGUGGCGAAAGCGGCUAACUGGCUCGUAUCUGACGCUGAGACGCGAAGGCGUGGGUAGCAAACAGGGUUAGAUA